rnacentral:lncRNA from 1 species
CAGCCAGCAGGUCCUUACCAUAUGGCAGCACCAUAAUGUUUGGAUUUUCCGGUCACCAGAAUCAUGAGCCAAAUAGACCUAUUUUCUUUAUAGAAAACCUAACCUUGGGUAUUUUGCUAUAGCAAUAAAAAGCAGACUAAUACAGCUGUCUUUUUCUUAUAAAGUGAAUCAAAGUUGACUUUCUCCUUCCCACCAACAUUGUCAGGGUUCUUCUCUCCUCCCCGUGAUGCUGGCUGCUUCAGGUGACAUAGGUAGAAGAGGUGGAAGGCAUGCUGCUUUGGUCCUUUCUGCUCACUCCCUGUUGCACUAUGAAUGUUCAAGAGCCCAGUUCUGCCCCCACUGAAACCAUUUCUCUUUCCCUUGAGGUCCUCCUGUGAAUAUGCUGAGUGACUGGAGCAAUGAAGGGACAUUAGGACCAGACCUCCCUACUAGAGGCAAAGCUCAGGCCUGGGGCAUGUAUGUGGUGAAGCUAGAAGCUGGUGUCUCAGUCAAUGUCUAUGCAAUCUCACUGCACUGGAGGGGACACAGUGGGCAGCUGACAGGUAUGGCUUGAAUGGACUGAUUCAUGUUCUGGUCCCUAUGCUUUGGCCUCAGAUUCUUUUCUUGGGAACUCUCUUGUGGGAAUUUCAUGUAGCCUGAUCCACCCUUCCCAGAAGUCCC